rnacentral:tRNA from 1 species
GCCGCGGUGGCGGAAUUGGUAGACGCGCGAGACUUAAAAUCUCGUUCUGGCAACAGAGUGUGGGUUCGAUUCCCACCCGCGGCA